rnacentral:lncRNA from 1 species
AUGUGCUCCCUCUCCCUGCCUCCCACCAGCUCUCUGCUUUCUGCCCCAUGUCCCUCAGCUCAGGGUCAUGUCAACCCCCAAAAGGGAAACCUUUCAGUGAUGCCUCUGCAGGAGUUUGUGCUGGAGGGCUUUGAAGGCGGUCCACAGACCCAGGCACUACUCUUUGCUCUGUUUCUGGCCCUGUACGUGGUGGGCGUCCUGGGGAACCUCACCAUGAUCGUGGUCAUCACGCUGGAUGCCCGUCUGCACUCCCCGAUGUACUUCUUCCUCAAGAACCUCUCCUUUGUGGACCUGUGCUACUCGUCUGUCAUCGCCCCCAAGGCCCUGGCCACCUUCCUGUCCUCCUCCAAGCUCAUCACCUUUGGGGGCUGUGCCACACAGCUGUUCUUCUUCUCCUUACUGGCUACCACUGAGGCAUUUCUCCUGGCCGUGAUGGCCUAUGACCGCUUCGUGGCCAUCUGUAGCCCACUGCGCUACCCCAUCACCAUGCGCCCCUCGGUCUGUGCCUGCCUGGUGCUGGGCUCCUACUGUGGGGGCUGCCUCAACUCCAUCCUGCAGACCAGCUUCACAUUCAGCCUCCCGUUCUGCAGCUCCAACCGCAUCGACCACUUCCUCUGUGAUGUCCCUCCAUUGCUCAAGCUUGCCUGUGCUGACACUAUGAUCAAUGAGCUGGUCUUGUUUGGAAUCUGUGGCCUCAUCAUCGUGGGCACCACCCUCGUGGUCCUCACCUCCUAUGGCUACAUCACAGUGACCAUCCUGAGGAUUCGCUCAGGAGGAGGGAGACACAAGCUCUUUCUCACCUGCGGCUCCCACAUGACAGCCGUGUCCCUCUUUUAUGGGACAGUUUUUGUCAUGUAUGCCCAGCCGGGGGCUGUGGAGUUCAUGGAGCAGGGCAAGGUGGUCUCCUGUCUUCUACACCCUGGUCAUCCCGAUGCUCAACCCCCUCGUCUACAGUCUGAGAAACAAGGACGUGCAGGAAGCCCUGCGGAGACUGGGGCAGAGACACACAGCCACAUGACGGAGGGUGGCCAGAGAGACAGUGUCCUGAGAACAUAA